UGAGAGAUACUGUCCCUUCAAGCCAUUCGAGCCAUUCAACAGCCGCAGGGCUCACCCUUCACAAAGCUACGAUUGGGUUUCUAUAGGAGAGUGUCGUGCUCUGAUUUGCAGUCUGAGAGGUCACAGGGCCUGCAUCGUGACAGACCAUCCUGGGGCAAAAGCAGUAUGGCACUGGCCCAAGGUCACACAGCCUGUGAGCACCGGAGCUGGGACUGGGAGCCAGCGAGCCACUGGUGUCUGUGAAAAGCUAGCGCCCUGGGUGAAGCCUGCCCAGUACUUGUUCCGACGGAGAGAGAGAGACAGCGGCAGAGAGAAGAGAGACAGGCUUCCAAGCAGGCUCGGCACCCAGCUCGGAGCCGGAUGCGGGGUUCGGACCCACAAACCGUGAGAUCGUGACCUGAGUGGAGGUCAGGAGUCAGCCGCUUAACCACCUGAGCCACCCGGGUGCCCCCAGACUUCCCUUUAAUUGCACAAAAGUGCUGGGAAGAAAACGCGUGUGAACCAACACUUCUGGGUUAUCUUGACGUCCACCCUCUCCCCGUCCGUUCGACGCGUCCGUUCGAAUUCACAAAACAAAGGACACGCGGAGAAGCUGGGGCCGUUGGCGACAGGGGCUGGAUGGCCAGAUGGGCCCGUGAGACUCCUUGCAGCUUCUCAGAUGCGGCCCCGCUGUGCACGGAUGCGAGACAGGUGUGGGUCCGCGGCUCCCCAGCUGGGCCCGCUCAGGCGAGCUGCCCCUUGUUUCAUCAUCUGCAAAACGCAGCCCCGAGACCGGCUUGGCACGCCUGAUCUGUGUGGCUGCUCAGAGCCCUGCAGGCAGAAGGGCCCUGCCCUCGGUUUGAGACCGGGCAGUUGCCAUCUGGAAAGCCCCCGCCCACUUUACUGAGCUAUAAUUGGCACAUAGCAUCGGGUGAGUUUCCCGGUGCGUGUGUUGAUCCGAUACACUUAUAAAUUGCAAAACGCUCACGCUGCCUCCACCGUGA